CAGUAGCCGCGGUAAUACGUAGGGUGCAAGCGUUAAUCGGAAUUACUGGGCGUAAAGCGUGCGCAGGCGGUUUUGUAAGUCUGUCGUGAAAUCCCCGGGCUCAACCUGGGAAUGGCGAUGGAGACUGCAAGGCUAGAAUCUGGCAGAGGGGGGUAGAAUUCCACGUGUAGCAGUGAAAUGCGUAGAUAUGUGGAGGAACACCGAUGGCGAAGGCAGCCCCCUGGGCUAAGAUUGACGCUCAUGCAUGAAAGCGUGGGGAGCAAACAGGAUUAGAUACCCCCGUAGUCCCUGUCUCUUAUAC
rnacentral:rRNA from 1 species